GGACAGCCGUCCCCAGGUGGAGAGACAGCGCGUCGCGCGCUGCCCGGGCCCCGCAGGGCCUGGCGCCUGGGGCCCUUGCGCCGCUUUGGGGCGAGGGGAUCACACCGCGGGCUCCCGGAGCUUAGCGUCUUCCACGCGGCGCUGUGUGUCAUCCACGCAGUGUGCUCUCGCUGCCGUGUUCAGGUCACUGCGAGGGUGAGCCCCGCUUUAUCUACCCCUUCUGCUGUUGAUGGGCACUCGUCUGGGGCUAGAAGGGAUAAGGUUGCUGUGAGCGUUCUCGUGUGUUUUUGGUGCACGCGCACACACAUUUCUCUGGGGUGCAGACCUGUCUAGUAGUGGAACUGCCGUUUCCCAGCACUUUGGAGCAAAGCCCUGUUGCAGUCUGAAGCGGAAAAGGCAGACGGGCCUUCCAUGUUCGUGAUUCCAGCCAGGCACAGAAGGGAAGGACAGGGACAGCAGCCGCGCGGAGGCGAGGAGGGACACUGGGCGCUGCUGUCCCCUCUCAGGGGCAGCCACUCCUCUUGUGGACGCAGGUGUGGUCACCAGAAGGGAAGGACAGCAGAGGACUCUUCAGGGACCUUCCUGGAUCCCCCUGCAAUGGGAGUGGCCUACUUGCUUGACUUGAGGCCUCUCCUGAGAUGGCAAACAGGAGGUCUGGAUCAAUCCUACAGUGUCGGCAAAUGUCUGGAUUACCCUGCAAGUUCAGACCAGUGAGGAUCCUUCAGCCACUGGGGGAAAGGCUCUGCUGACACAGCAACAGCGAGCAGGGGGCGCCAGCCAGCCAGCUGGCCGUGCAGUGUUCCAGCGGCAGGCGUAGUUUUCUCCCACCUCUCAUGGACAUUGAGUGCACCUUGUGUAUGCUAUGGACAUGCCCAGCCGCUGGAGAUGGGAGGGGAGGGGGUAAGAAGGGAAGCCACUGUGCCGUGACCCUGAGGCCAUUGAGGUGGGGUUUGGUGUCUCACCAAACGGAAGCCACAUUGUUCUGAAUUGCACCUCUGAUGGCUAGGCCAAAUGCUCAUUCUGUUUAACAUCAUUGCUGCAGUCUGUAGCAAAACCCUUAACGUUACAAAGGAAGAGAUAGAGCCACUUCAAACCGUGAAAGGAGAAGAGAUACCACAGUUAAGUCCGCCUGUCUUGGCCAACGGAGUUCAGUCUUUGGGCUUUCCAGCAACAAAAGAUGCCUUCAGUUGCCCCAGGGUUUUACUCCAGUCCCCGGCAACAGCUAGAUCUCCAUGAAGGGAAACAGCCAAUAUUUUUUUUACUUGCAGGAAAGGGAGGCAUGACAGCUCCACAUCUGUGUUCACCCUUGUGGAUCCCAGGUGAGACUCCAGAUGAAAUGGGAGAGUUCUCUGACCCCCUCACAGGACAUGUGACAGGAGUGUGGCUAGUCUGUUCAGCCUCCACCACUGCUGAAACACCUUAUGGGAGGGGGAGCAUGCAGAUGGGCAAGCGCAGGUGCCAGGGCCAGCGCUUUUGGGCUUCAACCCCAUGGUGGCAUCUAGGGGUGUGUGUCUGUGACUCCUGAAGCCCCAGUGUGUGUGCUCCAGUGCUCUUUUAGCUCUGCUGUCUGUCAGGCCUCUGAGCCCAAGCUAAGCCAUCAGAUCCCCUGUGACCUGCACGUAUACAUCCAGACGGCCUGAAGCAACUGAAGAACCACAAAAGAAGUGAAAAUAGCCAGUUCCUGCCUUAACUGAUGACAAUCCACCAUUGUGAUUUGUUCCUGCCCCACCCUAACUGAUCAAUUGGCCUUGUGACAUUCCUUCUCCUGGGCAACGAGUCUCAUGAUCUCCCCACCCUGCACCUUGUGAGCCCCGUCCCUGCCCACAAGAGAUAACCACCUUUAACUGUAAUUUUCCACUACCUACCCAAAUCAUAUAAAACUGUCCCACCCCUAUCUCCCUUUGCUGACUUCUUUUUCAGACUCA
rnacentral:lncRNA from 1 species